rnacentral:rRNA from 1 species
CCUGAUGCAGCAACGCCGCGUGAGGGAUGACGGCCUUCGGGUUGUAAACCUCUUUUAGCAGGGAAGAAGCGAAAGUGACGGUACCUGCAGAAAAAGCGCCGGCUAACUACGUGCCAGCAGCCGCGGUAAU